GAUGAAGAACGCAGCGAAAUGCGAUAGGUAAUGUGAAUUGCAGAAUUCAGUGAAUCAUCGAAUCUUUGAACGCACAUUGCGCCCAUUAGUAUUCUAGUGGGCAUGCCUGUUCGAGCGUCAUUAAGUCCACUUAAGCCCCGCUUAGUGUUGGGAGACUGCUCCAGCGGUGCUACCCUGUAGCUACCCUGCAGCUCCUCAAAGACAGCGGCGGAGUUGUGGUAUCCUCUGAGCUUAGUAACUUGUUCUAGCUUUCGAGUACACCACUUCCCCUGCCGUAAAACCCUUAAUUUUUAAUGGUUGACCUCGGAUCAGGUAGGAAUACCCGCUGAACUUAAGCAUAUCAAUAAGCGGAGGA
rnacentral:misc_RNA from 1 species